rnacentral:rRNA from 1 species
UACGUAGGGUGCGAGCGUUGUCCGGAAUUACUGGGCGUAAAGAGCUCGUAGGUGGUUUGUCGCGUUGUUCGUGAAAACCGGGGGCUUAACCCUCGGCGUGCGGGCGAUACGGGCAGACUGGAGUACUGCAGGGGAGACUGGAAUUCCUGGUGUAGCGGUGGAAUGCGCAGAUAUCAGGAGGAACACCGGUGGCGAAGGCGGCUCACUGGCUCAUUACUGACGCUCAGGCGCGAUAGCGUGGGGAUCAAACAGG